rnacentral:rRNA from 1 species
ACACACCGUGCUACAAUGGUUAGGACAAUGAGACGCAAUACCGCGAGGUGGAGCAAAUCUAUAAACCUAAUCUCAGUUCGGAUAGCACUCUGCAACUCGAGUGCUUGAAGCUGGAAUCGCUAGUAAUCGUAGAUCAGCAAUGCUACGGUGAAUACGUUCCCGGGUCUUGUACUCACCGCCCGUCACACCAUGGGAAUUUAGUUCACCCGAAGCCGGAAUGCCAAAUUGGCUACCGUCCACGGUGGGCUCAGUAAGNUAGGGUGAAGUCGUAACAAGGUAACC